rnacentral:tRNA from 1 species
GGGGAUGUAGCUCAGUAGUAGAUCACUUGCCUAAUAUGCACAAGGUCCUGGGUUCAAUCCCCAGCACACCUU